UACGUAGGGGGCGAGCGUUGUCCGGAAUUAUUGGGCGUAAAGGGUGCGUAGGCGGCCUUGUAAGUCAGAUGUGAAAGAUCAUGGCUUAACUGUGGUAAGCAUUUGAAACUGCAGGGCUUGAGUACAGGAGAGGAGAGUGGAAUUCCUAGUGUAGCGGUGAAAUGCGUAGAUAUUAGGAGGAAUACCAGUGGCGAAGGCGACUCUCUAGACUGUAACUGACGCUGAGGCACGAAAGCGUGGGGAGCAAACAGG
rnacentral:rRNA from 1 species